rnacentral:tRNA from 2 species
CUCCCCGUAGUGUAAUGGAUCGCACGUAAGAUUCCGGUUCUUAAAAUAGAGGUUCGAUUCCUCUCGGGGGGAUCA